ACUAUAUUGGCAGAUUAGUGCAUUGAAUUUAGAAUUCAAUUAUGUAAAAUUUACAUAUAGUA
rnacentral:tRNA from 1 species